rnacentral:piRNA from 1 species
UUGACCACUUUUCUUCCAUUUGGUUCAGGUC